rnacentral:rRNA from 1 species
GAUGAACGCUGGCGGCGUGCUUAACACAUGCAAGUCGAACGGAAAGGCCUUUCUGGCAGGGUACUCGAGUGGCGAACUGGUGAGUAACACGUGGGUGAUCUGCCCUGUAUUUGUGGAUAAGUCUGUGAAACUGGGUCUAAUACCGAAUAUGACAAGUGUGGUGAUGCGAUUGUGGAAAGCUUUUGCGGUAUGGGAUUCGCUCGCGGCCUAUCAUCUUGUUGGUGGGGUAAUGGCCUACCAAGGCGUCGACGGGUAGCCGGCCUGAGAGGGUGUACGGCCACAUUGGGACUGAGAUACGGCACAGACUCCUCAGAGAGGCAGCAGUGGGGAAUAUUGCACAAUGGGCGCAAGCCUGAUACAGCGACGAACCGUGGGGGAUGACGGCCUUCGGGUUGUAAACUAAAAAAGCAACCGACGAAGCCUUUUGGUGACGGUAGGUUGAGAAGAAGCACCGGCUAACUACGUG